UACGAAGGGGCUAGCGUUGCUCGGAAUCACUGGGCGUAAAGCGCACGUAGGCGGAUUGCUAAGUCAGGGGUGAAAUCCUGGAGCUCAACUCCAGAACUGCCUUUGAUACUGGCGACCUUGAGUCCGGGAGAGGUGAGUGGAACUGCGAGUGUAGAGGUGAAAUUCGUAGAUAUUCGCAAAGAACACCAGUGGCGAAGGCGGCUCACUGGCCCGGUACUGACGCUGAGGUGCGAAAGCGUGGGAGCAAACAGGAUAGAA
rnacentral:rRNA from 1 species